rnacentral:lncRNA from 1 species
UUUUGAAGUUUAAAUUUUGUGGGCCUCGUUCCUAUCCGGGUUUCAUCCGUUUCCCCCCAAAAAGAUUGGAACCCUAGAACUCCCAUAUAUAAACCCCCCCUCUUUUUCAAUGUUAAGGGGUUUGGAUUUUUAGCGAAAAUACAGAGAAUAGCUUAAGAAAAGUAGUUUGAAUACUCUCGAAAUGUACUUCGGAACAGAGAAGUUAAUUCCCUGAAGACCUUAGUUUCGUUUCUUUUUUUUUGGGUCGUCCAUUGCUCUCUCACAAGCUCGUUCGAACUCGAGGUAGCUGCUCGGAUUUCUGUAUAGUUUCCUUGAUUAUCGUUCAUGUUCGAGUUUAUCGUGGUGAAAGUCGUCACUUCUCUGCUCGUUUGUCUUCAGUUCGCUGCCUCGAACAAUGUACUUUGGUUGUUUUGAGUUCAUUGUGUUGGUUUGAUGUGUAGUUCUUUGCGGAUUUUAAGAUAAGCUUGUAUGAUGUGUUCGAUUUGUGUUAUUCUCUUCAUCUUAUUUUUCUAAAAUGUUAGUAUGUGUUUGUUUUCUUGCUGAUUUAAUGCUUGUUUAAGCUCACAUCAUUGAUUAUGUUCUCUUCGAAUUGACGGCUAUUAUGCUCACCUUAAGCUUGAUUUAAUCGUUUGUUAAUCACCUUGAUUCCGUUCUGUCUCUGUUUGCUGAAGUAAUUUUCCCAUUUUUGACUACAUGUUCUUAAGUGUCAAAGAAGUCAUUUCGUUAUUUCUCUUGUGCAUUUUCAAGUAGAAAUUUCAGAUCAUAUUAAUGUGACUCGGUUGUUUUGGGAUCAUUUUGUAGUAUGAAAUUAUUAGACUCGUUUAGUGUUUUGAUGAUUAGAUGUUCUCGUGACUUACUCAUUCAUCCUAGUUAGCCUAAUAUUUCACCCUGAAUUCAAAGAGUUUAUUACUAGCAUGAAGAUAGCUCCAUACGAUUGAUCAUGUUCUAUUGCAUUAGUUUAAGUUUGUUCCAUGCCUUCUUGAUUUGAAAUGGUCUAAUUUCUACCUAUUCAAUAGAGUAUUAGUUUAGCAUGAGAUUUCUUUAAGUAUAGUGGCUCUAUUUGUUCCACCUUGCAUCCUCAAGUUGAUAGUACUUGUUUAGGUUCACUGUGGUUUUAUUUCUGGAUCCUCUGUCGUGUUUAUGUACUGGUUCUCAUGUUCACUAUUUGUAAUAGUUGAGAGCAUGUACAUGGCCUUUAUUUCUAAAUGGGAAGAUUAAGAUCAAUAAGGAAUUGCUGUCCAUAAUGGUAUUUAAAAAUUAUUUCAUGUUCCCAACUUGAGUCAUGGCUGCUCAUUUCUUAUUGUUACAUCUGUUUGGAAAGCUCAUUUUUGUGAAAAAAUAUACCUCUUUGGAUAAGUCCUAUCUGCCACCAUUGUUCAUGUGUUCCUUUUUAGAUGGCAUGUAUGUCUUUUUUUUUCAAAUUACUUAAGCUGCUGAUUCUAAGUUCAACUGGCAGUUUAGGUUUGUUUUAUUUUGGCUAUCUCUUUUAGUCUAUUUAUAAAAGGAGUUUAAAUGCUUUGGUUAAUCAAUUCUUGGUAUGCUAAAUAUAUCUCUUGAUGUCACUUGAGCUUAAGAAGGUUUAUGAAUAAGAUUUUAUCAUGUUCUUUGUCAUCUGGGAAAGAUCUUGGGUAGGCAUGUGCUUUUUCUUAGAUAAGUAUUAAGAACAGUCCUAUCUAAUAAUAGGCCUAAUUAAUUGCUCAUUCUUUGUUUCAAAUUUCGCUAUUUGAAUUUCUUUACUUUCUUUACUAUCUUAAAUAUAAUGAAUAUUUUAUAUCAUGAAAGCUUUUUCUAACUUAUACUAAUUUAUUUCUCCUUUCUCUGCUGUAUGUGAAAUCCAUUUGAGUCCAUUUGGACUCCACUCCCUCUCUUUGCAUUUCGUUGAUUGGGCCUAACAGGCACAAUGCUUCUCUCUAUCGAGUCCAAAAAUAGUCGAUGAAUAGGUUGAAGGCGGUACAAGGAGCUGGAAAUUGAAAAAUAUGUUCUAGAAAGCCAAAAAUCAGGCUGAGAUAUGGAAUGUAAACAUUGAUAUACCUGUUGUAUACGCUGGUAUACAGCCGAAAAUACAGUAUACAAGUGCAAAACAUGGAUAUACAGGUUGAGGAAUGCAAAAAUACUAAGUUUGAAGGAGAAACACAGGUUUUGGACGUCGUAUGCAUGUGGUAUACAAGGGUAUACGUUGAAUGUAUACACAAAUUCCCAAAAGCAAAAAGAGGCCGAAGCCUUAAACCAUUUCCAACAAGUCCAGAUGGUAGAAAAGUGGGUCAAAGCCCAAAAUCUGCACAACAAGUGGAAUAGAAAUGGGCCAAGACCCACGAUUUUGAUUUUUUUUUAGAAUUUAGGACAGGUGGGCCAAAGCCCAACUAAAUUGAAUUUAGGCAAAAGACUCAAGUUCAAUUGUUUCUUUUUUCCUUAUUAUAAUUCAUGUUAUUGGUUAUCUACCCUUUUUUAUGGUUUAAUUUAAUUAAGUUCCCCAA